CUAAUUUUUGCUUUCUUUCUCAGGCCUCUAUAAAACCAAAAUGUGGGCGCAUGAUCAGCUUCUCAUCUGGAGGAGAGAACCCUCAUGGGGUGAAGGCAGUCACCAAGGGAAAGAGGUGUGCUGUGGCUCUGUGGUUCACCUUGGACCCACUUUAUAGAGAAUUGGAGCGAAUACAGGCUGAUGAAGUGAUUGCAAUUCUGGAUCAAGAACAGCAAGGGAAGCAUGAACUGAAUAUCAACCCUAAAGAUGAGCUAUAAAAAUGAGAAAGAAUGUUCUAUCAAAUAUUUAUUUAAAUUGUUAAUCUUAUGAGAACCUUUUUAUUUUUGUACAGAGCCAUGGUAUAAAUUAACAGGUUAAUGUCAGUCAUCAGAUCUUCCUUCUCUUCCUAAGGAUGCUUGUGUUGCCUCAAUCUAUCAAUCUAUCUUUCUUGUUUUGGGUUGUUUUCUCUCUCUCUCUCUCUCUCUCUCUUCUU
rnacentral:lncRNA from 1 species